GUAUUCCCCCAUUCAGCAGCAUACACACUAAAAUUGGAACAAUACAGAAAAGAUUAGUUUGGCAAUGAUGACAUGCAAAUUCAAUUCAUAAAAUAUUU
ensembl:snRNA Gm27659 predicted gene, 27659